UGUCUCAAAGAUUAAGCCAUGCAUGUCUAAGUAUAAGCAACUAUACAGUGAAACUGCGAAUGGCUCAUUAAAUCAGUUAUCGUUUAUUUGAUAGUACCUUACUACUUGGAUAACCGUGGUAAUUCUAGAGCUAAUACAUGCUAAAAAUCCCGACCUCCGGAAGGGAUGUAUUUAUUAGAUAAAAAACCAAUGCCUUCGGGCUCCUUGGUGAUUCAUGAUAACUUAACGAAUCGCAUGGCCUUGCGCCGGCGAUGGUUCAUUCAAAUUUCUGCCCUAUCAACUUUCGAUGGUAGGAUAGUGGCCUACCAUGGUUUCUACGGGUAACGGGGAAUUAGGGUUCGAUUCCGGAGAGGGAGCCUGAGAAACGGCUACCACAUCCAAGGAAGGCAGCAGGCGCGCAAAUUACCCAAUCCCGAUUCGGGGAGGUAGUGACAAUAAAUACUGAUACAGGGCUCUUUUGGGUCUUGUAAUUGGAAUGAGUACAAUUUAAAUCCCUUAACGAGGAACAAUUGGAGGGCAAGUCUGGCC
rnacentral:rRNA from 1 species